rnacentral:rRNA from 1 species
GAUGAACGCUGGCGGCGUGCCUAAUACAUGCAAGUCGAGCGAACAGAUGAGGAGCUUGCUCCUCUGACGUUAGCGGCGGACGGGUGAGUAACACGUGGAUAACCUACCUAUAAGACUGGGAUAACUUCGGGAAACCGGAGCUAAUACCGGAUAAUAUAUUGAACCGCAUGGUUCAAUAGUGAAAGACGGUUUUGCUGUCACUUAUAGAUGGAUCCGCGCCGCAUUAGCUAGUUGGUAAGGUAACGGCUUACCAAGGCAACGAUGCGUAGCCGACCUGAGAGGGUGAUCGGCCACACUGGAACUGAGACACGGUCCAGACUCCUACGGGAGGCAGCAGUAGGGAAUCUUCCGCAAUGGGCGAAAGCCUGACGGAGUAACGCCGCGUGAGUGAUGAAGGUCUUCGGAUCGUAAAACUCUGUUAUUAGGGAAGAACAAAUGUGUAAGUAACUAUGCACGUCUUGACGGUACCUAAUCAGAAAGCCACGGCUAACUAC